UACGAAGGGGGCUAGCGUUGCUCGGAAUUACUGGGCGUAAAGGGCGCGUAGGCGGAUAUUUAAGUCGGGGGUGAAAGCCCGGGGCUCAACCUCGGAAUUGCCUUCGAUACUGGCUGUCUUGAGUACGGGAGAGGUGUGUGGAACUCCGAGUGUAGAGGUGAAAUUCGUAGAUAUUCGGAAGAACACCAGUGGCGAAGGCGACACACUGGCCCGUUACUGACGCUGAGGCGCGAAAGCGUGGGGAGCAAACAGG
rnacentral:rRNA from 1 species